rnacentral:rRNA from 1 species
CGGAAGGCAGCAGUGAGGAAUAUUGGUCAAUGGACGAGAGUCUGAACCAGCCAAGUAGCGUGCAGGAUGACGGCCCUAUGGGUUGUAAAAUGCUUUUGUACGGGAAUAAAGUGACCUACGUGUAGGUUUUUGCAUGUACCGUAAGAAUAAGGACCGGCUAAUUCCGUGCCAGCAGCCGCGGUAAUACGGGAGGUCCGGGCGUUAUCCGGAUUUAUUGGGUUUAAAGGGAGCGUAGGCCGUGCUUUAAGCGUGUUGUGAAAUGUAGGCGCCCAACGUCUGCACUGCAGCGCGAACUGGAGCACUUGAGUACGCAGGAAGUAGGCGGAAUUCGUCGUGUAGCGGUGAAAUGCUUAGAUAUGACGAAGAACUCCGAUUGGGAAGCCAGCUUACUGUAGCGCCACUGACGCUGAUGCUCGAAAGCGUGGGUAUCGAACAGGAUUAGAUACCCUGGUA